CAAUAGCGUAUAUUAAAGUUGUUGCAGUUAAAAAGCUCGUAGUCGGAUUUCGGGACGGGCCAGUUGGUCCGCCGCAAGGUGUGUUACUGACUGGUCUGUUCUUCUUCGCAAAGACUGCGUGUGCUCUUCGUUGAGUGUGCGUAGGAUUUACGACGUUUACUUUGAAAAAAUUAGAGUGUUCAAAGCAGGCUAUCGCUUGAAUACAUGAGCAUGGAAUAAUGGAAUAGGACUUUGGUCCUAUUUUGUUGGUUUCUAGGACCGAAGUAAUGAUUAAGAGGGACAAUUGGGGGCAUCCGUAUUUCGUUGUCAGAGGUGAAAUUCUUGGAUUUACGAAAGACGAACAACUGCGAAAGCACUUGCCAAGAGUGUUUUCAUUAA
rnacentral:rRNA from 1 species